rnacentral:lncRNA from 1 species
CCUUGUGUACCCGUAGUUACAUGUUUCAUGAUCAAUUUACAUUUCGUGCAAGUAACAGUAGUUUUUUCCUCAUUUUGUACCAAAAAUUUCCAUACUAAAGAUCUUUUAACAUGUACAACGGUCUUUGAAAAAGUAGGUAAAGAGAGGACUUCAUCUUGUUUCGAUAAUUCGGUAGCUGAACUAGUAGGGGUAGGGGUCUCAUCAUCUUCCUCAUUUAUUUCUACUUCCUCAU